rnacentral:rRNA from 1 species
UACAGAGGGGGCAAGCGUUGUUCGGAAUUACUGGGCGUAAAGGGCGCGUAGGCGGCCCGCUAAGUCGAACGUGAAAUCCCCAGGCUCAACCUGGGAACUGCGUCCGAUACUGGCGGGCUUGAAUCCGGGAGAGGGAUGUGGAAUUCCAGGUGUAGCGGUGAAAUGCGUAGAUAUCUGGAGGAACACCGGUGGCGAAGGCGGCAUCCUGGACCGGCAUUGACGCUGAGGCGCGAAAGCUAGGGGAGCAAACAGG